AGUAAAAAUUUUCAUCUAUUUCAACUUCUAAAAACUUACAUUGUUAACCAAAUAACAAGACAAUUACACCUGGAGUGCUAAGUAUAUCUCAUGUCAACAUCCAGGGACCCGUUUUUAAUAGUAGAAAUGGAUAAAAAUUUUAAUU
rfam:Gossypium hirsutum cultivar TM-1 chromosome 2, whole genome shotgun sequence